rnacentral:lncRNA from 1 species
CAAAACUACCACCUGUCCUGGAACUCACUCUUUCUCAUUUUCUUUAGGACUCCACCCCCUCAUGCCCAAACUGAAUAAACAAUUAGCAGAUAUUUACAGAGCAUCUACUAUGGUGCAAAUUAUUGGACUAAGUUUGGAAAAGAAACUUUGAAGUGCAUCAAAAGGGAAGACUGGGACAUUCAAUUGCACAAAGUACCAUGUUAUAAGCACCAAGUUGGUGAUACAGAGAAUGGUCACCUUCUUCCCCCGAGUGCGCAGCUUCUGGAGGGAUGCACAUGGAGAAGUGAGGGAGGAAGAGGACACCUGCCUAGCCAGCCAGAUCAGCUGAAUCAACCCUGGUGAUCAAUGGGGUGACAGAUGUUGCAGCCAUAUCGCCCUCAUAUCCUGUCACCUUAUUUGGAAUUGGGUCUCUGCAGUUGUAAUUAGUUAAGUUAAAAUCAGGUCAUAUUGGAUUAGGGUGGGCCCUAAUCCAAUGCCUAGUGUCCUUGUGAGAAGAGAAAACAGAGACACAGACACACAAUGGAGAAAGCCAUGGGAAGACAGAAGCAGAGAUUUGAGUAAUGCAUGUAUAAACUAAGGAACACAAAGGAUUUCCAGGACCUCCAAAAAGCAAAUAUUUAUACCUACUGUGAAAAUGCUUUCAAGAGGAGGCGAAUUCU